rnacentral:lncRNA from 1 species
GCCAUGAUGACUUGCAAGCAACUCACUGCACUUAGGCACUGGACUACCUGAAUUUCUAAUUCAGUGACGAAAGGCUGCUGGGUGUAGUCAAGUACUUGACUUGUCGGUGCGUGUGUCAAGAUGGGAUUGACCACUCCAAUUCAGGAGCUGUGUACAGUCAUAUUUCAAUUUAGCAAAACCUUGGCCAGGGUAGUCCUAGUGAGGAGUCACAGGACUGUUUGAGUUGAGC